rnacentral:lncRNA from 1 species
CACACAGCUCCUGACCUGCAGAGCAGAAUCCAUUCCCUUGAGGGAACUGCUCCUGAGCAUGAGCUCCGGGUGUCCUGUGAUGUAAAAUGGAUGUGGCAGGACGCCCUGGAGGAAAGCGCAGGGCACACCCAGUGUGGGGCUCAUGGUGGGAGUGUCUGAGAUGUACAGGUUGUGCAGGAGUGGGGUGUUUCCAACUUGGAGAGUCGGUGUGGUCUGCAUCCCAGAAUCACCCAGAACAAUCCCAUCAGUCCAGAGCUGCAGGAACAGCCAUCACAUGGACUAGAAGCUUUGCUAUCUGAGGUCCAAGACCUUCGCUCAAUUCUCCUGAUAUAAGGCCCUUUCAGGAGACCUGAGCCCACAGGCUGGUGUCUAGGAAGAAGACAGAGGGUAUCUCCCUUCCUGAUGUGAGGAGCCUACUAAAAUUGUGAAGGAGUGAUCAAAACACCUGGGACUUUCCCCUACAAAUUCAAGCCAGGUCUCAUCCUUCCAUUUAAUGAAAGGCUGAAUUCUUUGGAGUUAAAGUAAAGCUUUUGUACUUCACCACCGUAAGAUUCCUUCUCCUUGGCUGGAACCCUUCCUUACAUAUCUUUUGAUGUCAUCUGAGCUUCUACACUUUGGAAUGUCCCACUGGCCACUCUUUCCAGCUUCACAUAUGGUGCCACUCGUGAGUUUGGGAGUGGUUGCUAUUCUCUUUCACCCGUUCCCUGACAACAGGGCACAGAGUGGCACACACUGAGGCCACCCCAGUCCCUGAGGACUCUCCUGCCACGUGUCCCCAUUGUGUCAAGCAGGAUAUCAUGACAGACUUUGUCAGCAGGCUUCCUCUAGUCAAGUAACACCACGCUACAGCUUCCCACUGCUUUGGAACCCCACUGGCAAAGGAAAUGAGGGGGUUUGGUAUGAAUGGCUGUUGAUGAAGUCUUGUUGGCUCAGCUCACCACUUUGUUUUUUUUCUGCAAAGAUCUCCUCCUCAGCCUAUUGAAUAAAUCUGUGAACCAUAAAUUCUGCUUCAUGCCUAAUGGGAAAAGGUAGUUAAGUGCAGAUGUCUUUGAAUAUUAAAAUUAAAUGGCUCCGAGCUGCCAUUCUGCCCAC